rnacentral:lncRNA from 1 species
ACCAUAGGGAUGUCAUGAAGAAAAGUCCAAGAAGAGCUAGACACAAAAGUUGGCAGAAACAGAUGGGUAGAAGAGAGUGAUAUCAAGAAUUUGGUAUACUUCCAAGCUGUCGUUAAAGAAACGCUGCGAUUAUAUCCGCCAGCACCUUUGUUAGUACCUCAUGAAUCAAUAGAGGACUGCAUUGUACAAGGAUACCACAUUCCGAAAGGUACAAGAUUGUGGGUCAAUACUAUGAAACUGCAGCGAGAUCCUAAAAUUUGGUCGAAUCCUAAUACAUUUGAUCCAGAGAGAUUCUUGACUAGUCAAGCAGGAUGUGAUGUUCGUGGUCAACAAUAUGAGUUCAUCCCGUUUGGCUCUGGAAGACGAUCUUGUCCAGGGAUCACUUAUGCAACUCAAGUGACACACCUUGCAAUAGCUCAUUUGCUCCAAGGUUUUGAUUUUAGUACACCAUCGAACGAGCCGUUGGAUAUGAAAGAAGGGCUAGGCAUGACAAUGCGCAAAGUAAAUCCUAUAGAAGUGAUGAUUACUCCUCGCUUGCCUUCUGUGCUCUAUAAGUUCUAAGAUGUAAAAUGAUCCACUUUUUUCUUUUUGUUAUGUAUGUACUUUGUGGAUGUAUAUUUUAUACAUGAGGAAAUAAUUUGAGUAACAAAUCUCUUAUUCCAAUUAGCAAGCAAAAAGUGGUAGUAAAAUAUCACUUGUCAAGUCUUAUUGAGAAGAGGUAAUAAGAUAGGACUUGGACAAGUAUUCAACUUAUCGCGGAUAAAAAUUGGACAUGUCAAAAGGAGAUGCACAUGAGAGAUUUACGAUGAAGACACAAGGUAGAUUGAAAAAGUGUUGAGGAGAGAUAAAGUAGACGGAACAACUAUUUGGAGAGAGGUGAUCAAAUAGAAUUUGACAAGUCUUCAACUUGUCGAAGACAAAAAUUGAACAUGUCAAAAUGAGAUUGAAGAGGUAUGAGAGAUUUACAAUGUAGAGGUAAGGUAGACUCAAAAAGUAUUGAGAAUGAGAUACAACAAAUCAAAAUACUAUUAGGAAGAGGUGGGACGUGGGGCUUAUUGUUGGUUCCCUUCAGUUAGAGUGUAAAGACUGAAACUAUUAAGAGAGAAAUGUGAUUUUUUUUUCUUUUGUUUGUGAGGAUUAUUGUUCAAGUGAUAUACGAGAUUUAGAAUUUUAUUUAUUUUUGACGUGUGAGAUUUAUUUAUCAUCUUUUGUAUGCCCAAAAAAUUUAUUUAUAUGAUUUUAAAUAUUGGAUGCGUGAAUAGUCUACUCGGGACCUCAACAAUAGGGGCUUGAUUGUGAUAACACGUUAAAUGAAUGUUGAGUCUAACUCAACUUUAAAAUAGCUCAAGAGCAAAGAAUUGCUAUCCAUCUCCGAUGUUGUUGGGUUCUUCAAUUCUUCAUUCAUCUCUCCAUCCACGUCUAAUUCAUCUAGACACAUUCGAUAUUGGAUGAUUCACUGUCAAGAUGUCUUGACGGUGAAAUGGUAGACAAGAAAAACUCAAAAUCUCGUGCUAAAGAGUGUGGUGGUUCAAGUCCUCUUCACCAGUGUUCCAUCCAAUCCUUCCAGUCUUUGUCCAACAAUAAAAGCAUGCACCUUGUCUUGAAUUUGAACCCAACUACAUCCAGGGUUUUUCUUCACUCCCCUCAGCUUCAUCAACUCUCUUAUACUAUCAGCUUCACCCCACCGCCCUGCUUCAGCGUACAUGUUUGAGAGAAGAGCAUAGUAUCCAGGAUGAUGCGGCUGCAGCUUAAAUAAGUGCUCAGCUGCCCAAGAACCCAAGUCUACAUUUCCAUUGAGACGGCAUGCUCCAAGGAGCGCAGCCCAAACAUUGGAAUCUGGUUCAAAUGGUAGACGAGUGAUAAGAUUAAUGGUCUCAUCCAUAAGCCCAGAACGACUAAGUGAGAAGAUUUAACUUCAAAGUUGGAUUACGAUUUUACCCCUUCACUAAAUUUAAAUAUUGUUAAUAAACUAAUUAAUAAAUUUUAAAUAAUAAAUAUAUGGUAUUGAUCCAUUAUAUUUCUAGAUAGAAUUAAUUCACGGAAUAUUUAAUUUAUUUUCAUUCUAUAAUGGAGUUUGGUAGAUGAAGUGUUUCGUAACAACAAAAGGCAAUAAAUUAUAUCCUUCAAAAACUGAAAUAUCCUUUAACAUUAAAGAACAAAAAUAUCCUUUGAAUUACCAUACAUCUUAAUAUGACACACAUAUAUAAAUUUUAGUUAGAAACUUUACAUAUCCCUAACUUGAACCAAUCAAAUUCUGAUAGAUGUUAGGUAUAUCAUCAAUUUUUCUAAAUGGGCUAAGAGGUUUUGUCCAAAUGAUUAUUAUUUUUUUUCUAAAUGGGGGACACCAUUUGUUUAUAAUAUAAUUAAAAGAGAUGAUGGAUGAGAACACAAUCAAAUGAGAUGCUCAAUGGGGUAUUUCUUUUCUAUUUUUAUAAUUGUGAAACAAGGUGUACCGCACUAAACUUUUGUCAUUAUCUUUAAUUAAACAAUUGAUGGGUUUGUUGACAAAUGAUGACUCAAUGGUUUAUUUACACUACUACUAUUAAUCAGCCUAAGACGGACUAUUCAUCUGUUUUGUCUUCUUUGACAACUACAAUUAAUUUAAUUGAGAUGCAUUUAAGCUAAUCAAGACACAAGCAGAAAUUAUCAAGAAAGAAAAAGAUACCUUUGCAAAUGUGAGAGCUUUUAAAUUGAGAGAACGGUGUAACUCUCAAUUUAAAGCUGUUUUUUAAAUUAUUAUUCAAAAUAAGCAAAGGCCAACACACUCGUAUUCCUUUCUUUUAUUGGUAAAUUUCUUUCAUACUUCUUAUUUAUUGUACUCCCUCACGUUCAUAUUAAGCAAAUUGUUCGUCGACUGACAAUAAAUAUAAUUUUUAAAAAUUAUAAUUUUAUUUGAAUUAAAUAUGAGCCCACAGUGGGAAAUGCAGUAUGGGCUAAAAAUGUCUUUACUAGAAGGAAAACAAAGCUGCAAUAAUAGAAGGGUGGACCCACUCUUGGCCAAGGGGUGUCAAGCCACACCCUUUCAUCGGAAAAUUAUAUUGUAUAUAAAGGUCAAAUUUUGAUUCAAGUAUUGAAACAUUUUGACAUAAGUGGAAGGUUUAGACUAGUGGUUAAGGGAUUGCGAAAGUUAAUUUUGAUGUUACACUCCUUCUCUUUUGAUUACUUAAUUUUAUGAAUAACUAUUUAUACAUAUUGUAAUUGUAUUUAAAUCAUUUACAAAUAUGUAUACUAAGUAGCGUGCAAUACACAUAUAUUUUCCAUUUUGAAAUUUAAUUUUUUUUCAAGUAUAUAGAAAUCUUGUAGUUAAUUAAAUUGCCAUGUUAUCUCUUUGUCUUUGUACUUAUUUAUGACUUCAUAUGCACAUUUUUCUUUAACUAUUUUGCUAUUUUAAGUUCAUUGAUUCAACUAAUUUAAUUUAACGUAAAUUCUUAUCAUGAAAUUUUUUAUUCUUUAAGCCGAAUUCAAUGCUUUCUUGUAUCUCUGACUUUCAUACGUAAUAGAUUUAUCUUAAUUAUAAUUUGACAAAUUUGUAUAACUAUCUCUACAAUUUGAUAAAUUUAUUGGCUCAACUAAUUUAUUUUUCAUGAAUAUGCCGACUAAGGAAUAAAACAUAUUCUAACCAUAUUAUAAAUCAUUUUAGUGCCUAUAAACACAUCAAAGACUUAAAUUUUUUGGUUGAAAAUAAUUUAAAGAAAAUGGAAGAUCAUAUUUUUUCUCAUUUUAAUGCAAUUUUACUACUUAUAGCUUUUAUUUUUUCCUCAAUUUUCAUAUGGAAACUUUUAAAACCUCAAAACCCCUUACCGCCGGAGAUCUCCGGUGGCUGGCCGGUGAUCGGUCAUCUCCUCCAAUUUUCCGGCGCCGACGACAUCCCGUUAUCUCGAAAACUAGCAACUUUAGCUGACAAAUACGGUCCUGUUUUCACUUUCCGGCUAGGUCUGCCAUGUAUACUAGUUGUCAGCAGUUACGACGCCGUUAAGGAUUGCCUGUGCACCAACGAUAAAGCCUUCGCCGCCCGGCCGGCGUCUUUAGCCGGUGAGUACAUCGGGUAUAACAACGCUAUGCUUUUUCUAGCUAAUUAUGGUCCUUAUUGGAGGAAAAUUCGAAAAAUUGUUCUUCAGGAAGUUCUCUCGAGUAGCAGGUUAGAAAAACUGAAAUUUGUUAGGGUUUCUGAAAUUCAAACAAGUAUCAAUGAGCUUUACUCUUUAAUUUCUGUCGCCGGAGAAAAUGUUGAUUUUCCGGUGAAGGUUAAUGUUACUAAUUGGAUAGAAAAGUUAACUUUGAGCUUGAUAGUGAAAAUGAUAGCUGGAAAAAGUUAUGGAAGGGUUGAAAAAGGGGGAAAUGAAGAAGAAGCUGAGAGAUUUAAGAAAGCUUUGAAGGAUUUUAUGUAUAUUUCAAUGGAGUUUGUGUUAUGGGAUGCAUUUCCCAUUGCUUUAUUCAAAUGGAUUGAUUUUCAAGGUCAUGUUAAGUUUAUGAAAAGGACUUUUAAAGAUAUUGAUUGUGUUUUACAAAAUUGGUUGGAUGAACAUUUGAAGAAGAAAGAAAGAGUUGAUGUUGUUGAUGGAAAUGAACAAGAUUUCAUUGAUGUUAUGCUUUCUAUGAUGAGCAAUGAAGAUUUUGCAGAUGGUCAUAGUAGAGAAACCACCAUUAAAGCUACUGCUCUGGUGAGUACUGUCUCUUGAUGCUAUAUAUACAUUGUUUUCUUGAUAUGUUGCUCGGACUUGUCAAAAAUCAUGUCGGAUCCUUCAAAAGAAAUACAUUUUUAAGGAUCUGACACGGGUGUGGCAACAUUAUUGGAGAGUUCGAGCGACAUAGACAACAAAAUACCUAGUGUAGUUCCACAAGUGGGGUCUGGGGAGGGGGGUUUUACCCUGUAUGCACCCAAAGGGUAGUGGUUGCGGGUUUCCCUUGUCAUAAAAAAAAAUGAAAAAGGAUAUGAGCAGAUCUUAUCCCUACCUUUUGAGGUAGAGAGAUUGUUUUCGAUAGAUUCAUGGUUCGGAAGAUCAUUGCUUUUCUUGAAAUUGACUUAAAGUUUAUGAAUUUAUUUUCUAUGUAUUGAUAGUGAAUAUGCACACUAUAAAAGUUAUGAAUGUUUAUGAGAUGCUUGUGUGUAUAUCACAGUAUAUGUUCAUGAUCAUGGACUAUGUUGCUCGGACUCUUCAAAAAAUGUCCUUCGGUGUGUGUCGGAUAACUUUGGAGGAUCCGAUAUGAGUGAGGCGUCAUUGUUGAAGAGUAUGAGCAUCAUCAUAAAUGGGUAGUUGUUCAGUGGGUUUGCUCGAUGCACAGUUAAGUCAUUGGGUGUCAGUCACAUGCACCUAUCAUCAGCUUAGAUACAACGACCGUCCACUCUUUAUGUAAAGUCUGAUAUGGAGAGACUUUGUGUUCUGAAUUGAAUUGUGCAACCAUUUAGCAUGAUCCCAACAUAAUGGAUAUAUAAUGGUGUAACUAGGAGCUGUCUAUUAGGAGUACUUUGUUUAAGAAGAUAGUUCUUUUGUUUGUCUGACUAGUCUUGUUUUUCUUAAAUGGUUCUUUCUUCCACAGAGUAUGGUGUUGGAUGCUUCGGACACGACUGCUAUUCACUUAAAUUGGGUAAUGGCUACAUUGUUAAACCAUAGGGAUGUCAUGAAGAAAGUCCAAGAAGAGCUAGACACAAAAGUUGGCAGAAACAGAUGGGUAGAAGAGAGUGACAUCAAGAAUUUGGUAUACUUCCAAGCUGUCGUUAAAGAAACACUGCGAUUAUAUCCGCCAGCACCUUUGUUAGUACCUCAUGAAUCAAUAGAGGACUGCAUUGUACAAGGAUACCACAUUCCGAAAGGUACAAGAUUGUGGGUCAAUACUAUGAAACUGCAGCGAGAUCCUAAAAUUUGGUCGAAUCCUAAUACAUUUGAUCCAG